GGACAGUGCGAAGUCCCGUGGAGUGGAGGGGGCCCCACAACUCACUGGUUUAAAGAGAGACUCUGCAGACAGCCACGGAGAAGGAAAACUAAGCCAAGCCCCAUGGGCUGAAAGGGACUCCUACAACUCAGUACGAGGCAGAAGGGGAAGCUGCCUGAGGUCUCAACACAGCUGGUGAGGACACCAGACCCUCAGUGCCAGAUCAACUUGCUCCCAGAUUGCCUCCUGGAUAUAUAGGAGAAGCAGAACUUUUUUGCUGGGCUGCUGAAGGCUUCUGGGGGCCGGGGGAGAAUGGUGAGAGGAGCAGGCCAACUAGAAACCCCAAGAAGAUCCUGGCAGUGGAGGGGAAAGUGGUCCUCUGGAACACGAACUCAGAGGAAAGAUUUCAGAUCAUGGCAACAGGAAAGGACGAUGGCCCCUCCAGUGCACUAUGGAUCCCAACUUCUUUCCAGCUAUCUCUUCUGGAGGACUGUCAGCAGGGGCAGCCGCCUCCUCCACAGCCAACCACCCCAGGACAACGUGGGACUAGUGGAGACUGUCAUUGGUUUAUCAGCAUUUUCCCUGGCUGUCCUUGGACCAGCUGGAUGGUUCCUGUUCCACCUUCCAAGCUAUAAAAAGAAGUAGAAGAUGUGCUUUCCUAUUUAAGACCUGGAGCCUCAGAUCUGCUGUAAAUAUUCCUUUAUGGAGCAUCUUUAAAGCGAGAGUGUCAACCUGAAGUCUAGUCAACUAAAAAAAUAAAUGAGUUAAAUGCUAAUUUCAGGUUCUACAUCAACUACCUUGUUACUGUGUGAAAAACUCACACAAGCAGGGAAAAUUACUAAUUCAGGUCCCCAUCUUGCAAAGCCUCAUGCAGGUACUCAAGUUUAUGCUCUCUGAGUAGUCCCGUUGACUCCAAUGGGCUAAGGUUAAAAGUUAAGCAAAUGCAUAACUAUUUGCAGGAGUCAGGCCUGACCAUACAGGGAAAACAGUAAAACUGACACAAAUUGCCAUAGUAUGGCCUGAUCUAAGUGGGCUCAACUACAUUGACUUCAACUGAGUUGCACUGAGCAGACCCAGCCUGAGUUUGGCCCAGUGUGCUUUCAAAAGUGUAAGCUAAGCUAACUAAAAAAUACAAAGAAAUCAUUAUUUUUAAACUCUUUUUCUGCUUUACAAAUAUUAGGGGUUCAUUUUAACAAUAGGAAUAAAUAUUGACAGAGAAGGGUGAUUUUUAAGUUGAUUGUUUCUCUCUAACUCUUUGUGUCUCUUCUGUGUCAAUAGAAAAACCUGUGCAUUCCCACUCGAAUAAAUGUAUCCUGCAAAUUGCGGUCGGCAGAAACAUCAAUUUGUUUUAAACUUUUAUGUUUAGAUUUAUGGUAU